rnacentral:rRNA from 1 species
UGGGGAAUUUUCCGCAAUGGGCGCAAGCCUGACGGAGCAAUACCGCGUGAGGGAGGAAGGCUCUUGGGUCGUAAACCUCUUUUCUCAGGGAAGAACACAAUGACGGUACCUGAGGAAUAAGCAUCGGCUAACUCCGUGCCAGCAGCCGCGGUAAUACGGAGGAUGCAAGCGUUAUCCGGAAUGAUUGGGCGUAAAGCGUCCGUAGGUGGUUUUGUAAGUCUGUGGUUAAAGCGUGGAGCUCAACUCCAUAAGGGCCAUGGAAACUACAAGACUAGAGUGAAGUAGGGGUAGAGGGAAUUCCCAGUGUAGCGGUGAAAUGCGUAGAGAUUGGGAAGAACACCGGUGGCGAAAGCGCUCUACUGGACUUAGACUGACACUGAGGGACGAAAGCUAGGGGAGCGAAAGGGAUUAGAUACCCCUGUAGUC